UAACGCGUAGGAACCUGUCGCACAGAGGGGGAUAACGCUGGGAAACCGGCGCUAAUACCGCAUGUGGUUCUUGAAGGGGACUUCAAGAAAGAAAGCAGCAAUGCGCUGUGUGAGGGGCCUGCGUCCGAUUAGCUAGUUGGUGGGGUAAUGGCCUACCAAGGCAUCGAUCGGUAGCUGGUCUGAGAGGACGGUCAGCCACACUGGGACUGAGAUACGGCCCAG
rnacentral:rRNA from 1 species